rnacentral:rRNA from 1 species
CCCCUAGAUGUUCUGGGCCGCACGCGCGCUACACUGAACAGUUCAACAAGUCUUAACCUUGGCCGAUAGGUCUGGGUAAUCUUUGAACGCUGUUCGUGAUUGGGAUAGACCUUUGCAAUUAUGGGUCUUCAACGAGGAAUUCCUAGUAAACGCAAGUCACCAGCUUGCAUUGAUUACGUCCCUGCCCUUUGUACACACCGCCCGUCGCACCUACCGAUUGAAUGGUCCGGUGAAAUCUCGGGACGGCGGCUUGGUCGCUUGCGUCCGACUGCCGAAACUUGAUUAAACCAUAUCAUUUAGAGGAAGGUGAAGUCGUAACA